GCCUUGUGAUGUCACUGCCCUAGUGAUGAGGUGCCCAGCACCCCUGCCUGCCUCGGUGAUGGCUCGUGGCCCCGUUGAGGCAGUGAAGCUGGAGACCCGUGGCGUGCACAGGCAGCCACUCCCACACUAUGACCGGGGCCCGAGAAUGCCAAGGACAUUAGGCAGGUACCAUUCCUUGUCCUACCAUCUAUGUUGAUAUUAAAAAUAUCAAGAGUCUGAAACUUUACAUCAUAGUGAACAAAGAAAACCUAAUAUGAUGCCAGGGAAAAGAUUUCAGGAUGUUCAAAAUCUGUUCCUGAUAAAAAUAAUCUGAAUUCAAAAAUCUUUCAUGACUUAUUCAGGAUAGCAAACUUGAUUUUUAAUCACACUGAGGCAAAUAUCCCCCUCAGACAGAGGCUGCACAGGUGCAGCUGCCAUCUCCUCUCAGUGGUAUCCUUUGUCAAGAGCACGUCAGGGUGAUGAGUCAUCUGGGACAGGUCAUCCUCCCAGCACCGAGAAACCGACGGGGGAGGAACAGACUCCUCUGCAUUGUGAUCCAAUUGUGAACAAAAAGUCCUCUUCGUGGAACAGGAAAAAUACACUCCCUCUAAACAAUGGAUUGAACACGGAUGUGAUUUCUAAAGAAGACUGAGGGCAGGGAUACUGACACUGAAGUCCUGCAUGUGUAAUAACACUGAAGAGGGCAGGGAAUCGCUGCGUCCUGUGACUUGAAGGCCACUGUGAAGGAAAACAAUGCAGUGAAAGAAAGUUCUUCCUAUGUGGACAUUGUAUCACGUUUAUUUAUCUUCCUGGAUAUGCUUAUGGCCUUUAAAACAUAUUAAAAUAGGCCAUGCUAUUAUCUCUUAAAAUAUCUAUUUUCCCUCAGGGAACUGGAGACGCACCCUGCUACUCCUCAUGUCACUCCUGUUCCCUAAACCAGGCUGGGCCUCCCACUCACCCCACAGGCAGGUGAGGUACGACAGCCAGAAACCCCAAAUCUGCAGUUCUCCCAGGAUGAAACGAAACAGUGUGACAGGCUUCUGAUAAGGGAAUCAAUGUCUGUUUAUUAAGGUAGUUGCUCAUGAAAGUGACUUUCAGUAACAUUUUCAGUAUAAAAAUGGAUUUACAUUUCAUUUCUGGAAAACUGUUUUAUACAGUGAUCUGACCAUGGCUAGGAGUCCCGGGGACAGCAGUCUCUGCUCAGGGCAGACUCUGUGAUUCACUCUCUGUCCUGCUGCUACCCCACGUGGGGGAGAACACGUGGGCUGAGAAAAGAAACAGUGUGUGCAAAGCUGACAGAUAUCAAGGGUCCCAACACAGUUCCUUCAGCGAAAAUAAAGCCCGGUUUUAAGAUGUGCAGGGAAGUGUUGACACUCAACAGGCAGCUGACCAGGCCCUGCAGGGCUCUGAGCAGGCAGGGGAGUCCCAAGGAGAGUAAGUGACAGCACGUGGGGCAAGGGAGCUGGACAGGAGACCCCAGAGGGCGCGGCACCUGGGUGAGAGCCCUGGACCCCACACCAAGGCAGAGCGGUGGCCCUGAAGGACUCUGGGCAGGAAAUGACAGGCUCUGAGGGUGUCCAGACACAGAUCUCCACUGCCUGAGGGAGGGCGAUCAGACGGGGGGAGGCCAGGGACUGCCACCUGCCCAGGAGGCGGCAGGGAGGGGAAGAGCAGAUGAGGAGGCAUAGGGUGCGCCCUGGGCAAGGCAGCAGGGGUAACGAAGCUCUCAGUGACUCCUCCCAAUAGCCAGGGGAGAACAGUGACAGUCUCAGGUGGCCCUGAGCAUGUGAGCUGCUCAUCCACAUCAGUCAAAGGCAAAGCCAGGACCUGAACUUACCAUCCCAAGCCCUACAUCCAUGCAAGCCAGACCAGACUGGAUCAGAGGCUAGAAGAGAGCUCAAAGGAUUGCCUGGGGAAGCCUUGACCCAAAACCUGGCCCUCACUCCAGCCCAGAGCACCCACCUGGGCAUGAGACUGGCGGCAGCUGUAGGGCAUAUGCCGGGCUCCCAGGGUGCCACACCUGCCAGCCAGCCCAGGGAGUGGUGAUGGGCUAGGUACUGGCUGUCCCUACACAUAGCAGUGCCCCGCGGCAGUGACUACAACUGCUGCCUGCCCCUCACCCCUGGUUAUGCUCGGCCUCCCCUGUGCAUUUCUGUGUCCAUAAGUGUCCCCUGUGCAUUUCUGUGUCCAUAAGACUACUAUAAACCCUGUAGGCACCUCACAAACAGCGUUCCACGCAGGUGGGUUCAUGUCCCAGGGGCAUGGGGCUCCCUGCUGCACAGACUUGGGAUGUUCCAUGACAGACCCCGCAUACGCAGGCGAGCUCACAACCCAGAGAUAUGAGGCUCCAUGACAGACCCCGCAUACGCAGGCGAGCUCACGACCAAGGGUCAUGGAGGCUCCAUGACACCCCUCAUAUGCAGGCAAGCUCACGACCCAGGGGCAUGGGGCUCCCUGCUGCACGGCCUCAGGAUGCUCCAUGAGCACCCCCCAACACUGGGCUGUUCAUGGAUGCACACUACAUGCCAUUGUCACAGGGUUGCCCUUGUGUCCCUCAGCCCGGCAGACAGAAGGUGCAGGAGCAGCCUGCCCAGGGCCGACCCCAGCCCAGAGCCCACUCAACACUCAGGAAUCACACAGGCGCAGCUGCUCCUCUCCCAAGAACUCAGCUAUUGGUCAGAAAAAACCUCCUAGCCUCACUACCUUGAGGAGGCCGUGCCCAGAGGUGGCAGAAGGCGCUGUGCCUCCUCAGGGGUCACGGCUCCUGUGCCCGCUUUCUCACCCAAGCCCAACAA